rnacentral:lncRNA from 1 species
CACCACGAAGGAUCAGUCAGAGCCACGGGGUGCGUCAAGUACUCGAACAACUGUCUUGAAUUGCGUCAUUCAUUAGAAUAAAAGCAACUGACAGCUGCUGAACCUUCCAGAAGUUCAGAUGAACUAGGUUGGAACAUGACAAGACGGCUGAAGACAGAAGAAAUACAGUUUAGGAAUUCCAGCCAAUUGCUAUCGGCACAGGAUGAAAUAAGGAGCCACAACGUCAAACUGAUUUUUUAUUCAUAUUCACUCCUUCCAUAGACGCAAGCAGAGGGCUCGAGGCACUAGGACACCGAGCCUGUCCUUGCCUUUCAGUCGAGAAUUGGAGUGGAAGGCAGGGCUGCAGUUCUCGGCAACUUGGCCCUCUCAAGUCCAGGCUGCCCGAGGGACUCGGUCCAGCACUUACGUUUGUUCAAUGAUAAAACUGUUUUUGCUGCUUUUCUGUAUUUCUGGGAUUUUUUUUAGAUUGUGAAGAGAUUUUACUUUUUCACCACAAUCUGAUAAUGAGAAUGAAGAGAGUACGGCUGCCAGCGGAGAAAGUAUGAAUUACAAGAGGCCCCUUCUCUUCCUUUCAAAUCACUGCGGACUCUGUGACUGAUCCUCCAGUUUGAAGACAGUGUGCACAGAGUCCAGGGCUCAGGACACAAGUGACACAAAACUGUGUUAUGUGCUUUACCACGGCUGAUGGAAUUCUCUGGGAGUUCCCACCCUAGACACCUGGGCUUCCCCCUCCUCUUCCCAUAGGGCUUCUGUUCACAUGAGGUCUCUUCUCAGCCCCUGCCCUUCAGUUGGCACUAUACCAGCGUCCUCACAUUCCCAGGCCUCGACUGGGUUCCUUUUGGCUGCGGACACACCCUUGACAUUUUGGUUUUUUCACUUUAGAAAUUCCCAUAGGAAUCUAGAAAAGAAAAGCUGUCAAUUUCUCUAGGAAACAAGGAAAAGCUGAGAGAAGAGAACUACAAUGGAGUCUGUGGGGCGACGGUGCGCACCUUUGAUUCCAGUACUCGAGGGGCAGAGGCAGAUGGCUGGCUGCAAGUUCUAGGCUGGCCUGGUCAACACAGCAAAUUCCACGACAACCAGGGCUACAAGGUAAGACCUUACCAAAACCAAACAAAACCAACAAGCCCCCCAAACCACCAACCAAAUCAACCACACACACAGUGAAGCCAUGAAUGAGCCUCGAGAAUCAGGCCAGAGAACCAGGCCGACGACGUCGACGCACGGAUGAUGGAUCACUGGGAAAGACAGAGAGAAGAAGCUACCGGACUCGGCUGAAAGGCAGGACUUCUGCUCUCCCAAAAGCAGCCAGGUGGAUGCUGAGGCCAACAGAAUGAAGAUACUUUAACAAUAUAUUCAAUUAGUGGUUUUAAUUUCCAUAUUAAUAUCACCUUUGCAGUGUGCUAUGCACAAUAAAUCUUCGCCGCCCUGGUGGCUGUCCUGGAAGAUCCACCUGCCUCUCCCUCUCGAGUACUGGGAUCAAAGGCGCGAUUGGGAAAGUCAGGAGUGGCUAUGGCAGCAUUUAGGAGGCUGAUGAGAACAAGUCCAGUGCCAGCUCAGGCCAUGAAGUGAUCUGCUCAGAAGCCCAGAAGCCCACACUACCCAGAAGUUCUGACGGAAACACGGUGGUCGGACUCCGGUUUCCUUGUCCCUCCAUGUGGCCGUGAAGCCCUGACCUGCACUUAAGGAUGCGAUGACAGAGCGAGUGUCCUGUGGCAAACUCCUGUUUGCUCCCUGGAGUGCUGCUUCAGCAUCCGUCAAUCUACAGUGCCAGGCCUUGUGCUAUCUGUCACAGCUGCCAUCUUAAGAUCCAUCCUAACAGCUCAGCUUCCUGCUGUUCCUGCAAUCAGGCCUUCUGGGCUAUCUAGUUUCUGGAACAGAUACGGUGAUGAAAAGGCCAUUUGCAGCGGAGAAUACCGAAGACUCUCUCGGCCUACAUUCCUAUCAGCACUGAGUUCUGCUUUAUUCUGGACGAUUUUACGUAACAAUUUCAGUUGACUGUACUCUUGUGUAAGACUCCCAUAGUCCUAAGCAGUCAGGACUUCCUUGACAGUGAAACCAUUAGGCCGCUGCACUUU